rnacentral:rRNA from 1 species
AGUCACUGACAUUAGAUACCCCCGUAGUCCCAGCCGUAAACAAUGUGCGUUAGGUGUGUCGGUAACCACGCGUUACUGAUGCGCCGAAGAGAAAUCGUGAAACGCACCACCUGGGAAGUACGGUCGCAAGGCUGAAACUUAAAGGAAUUGGCGGGGAGCACCACAACAGGUGGAGCCUGCGGUUUAAUUGGAUUCAACGCCGGACAUCUCACCGGAUAAGACAGCUGAAUGAUUGUCAAUCUGAAGGUUUUACAUGACUAGCUG